rnacentral:tRNA from 2 species
GCGUUUAUGGCGAAGCUGGUUAACGCACUUGAUUGUGAAUCAAGCACUCUUCGGUUCAAGUCCGAAUAGACGCCCCA